rnacentral:rRNA from 1 species
GCUGGAAUGAAUGGUUUGACGAGAGAUGGUCUGUCUCUUCGAUUAAAUUGAAGUUAAUCUUUAAGUGAAAAAGCUUAAAUGUACUUGGAGGGCGAUAAGACCCUAUAGAUCUUUACAUUUAAUUCUUUUGUCUUGCGGUAGGUAAUUAGACAGAGUAAAGCAAUGUUCGGUUGGGGCGACGGUAAGAACAGAAUAAACACUUACAACAUAAACACAUCAAUAAAUGACCAUUGAUCCUUAGAUGAAUAAAGACCAAGUUACCUUAGGGAUAACAGCGUAAUUCUUUUUGAGAGUUCAAAUCGACAAAAGAGUUUGCGACCUCGAUGUUGGUUCAGGGACCCUACUCGGUGCAGCAGCCUAGAGAGGCAGUCUGUUCGACUGUUAAACCCCUACGUGAUCUGAGUUCAGACCGGCGUAAGCCAGGUUAGUUUCUACCCCCAAGGCAAAUCCACUCAUGAUAGUACGAAAGGACCUCUUGAGAUUUUA